rnacentral:lncRNA from 1 species
UUCUGUGUUCUUUAGCUUUGAAAUCACUGUUUGGUUAUUUAAAAAAAAAAAAAGAGAGAGACUUGAUACUGUUAUUCUAUUCAUUAUGUUCUUGUGAGUUGAUUGAAUGUAACAUGGAUAUUUUGAAUUCUUAAUUUGGUCAUUCACUUAACUCCAUUACCUGAAGUUAGGCUUUGGAGAUUCUUUUGUUCCUAUGGUUGGGCCAUGAUUUCUCAGGUUUUUAUGUAUGCCUUGUACCUUUGUAUUUGGUUGUACAUUUGAAACACACCUGCCUCUAUAUCAUUUUACUUCAACUAUGUACAAGGAAAGACUUCCACAGUCAUUUGAGGUCAAGAUUCCAGAACCUCGUCAAAUUUGUCUAGGGAUACAUUUUUCUAUGCUUUCAUGAAUAAGCCCGGCAGAGUUUUGCUGGCUUAGUCUUCAGUUUGUAAUCUCUUCCUCCCUCUAGUGUCUAUCUGUAGUAUUACAAGUUCCAACGUGCUAAACUAUGUGCCUUUCCCUGAGGCCUUGGGGACCAUCAGGAACCUGUGUUGGGUAAGCCAGAAACCAGUCUCUUUGAAGGUCCCUGAAGAGCUGGGAUUUUUUCUUUUUUGGACACAUGUCCGCUCCAUUCACCCCUUCCACUCCCAGAGCCACAAGCUGGGCUCUCACUCCCUAGGUGGCAGGCUGUGCCAGUUUCUGUUUGUGGUAUUACAAGUUCCCUGGCACUGACAUGAGCUGCCGAGCUCACUUUUGUUCUCUGCAGCCCCUAGGCAUGAACACUGUGAAGUAUGUGAGAAGGAAAUUAGUUCCUCGAGAGAAGAGACUUUGAAUGCAAAAUCUAUUUUUCUCUUUGCCCUCCCCCCCGCCCCCCAAGGAAGAGACUGAUAAUUGGACUUUUGCACUCUGGAAAAGGAGACGUUUGAUAUGGAACGGCAUCUUUUACUACAUCUUCUCUUUAUAUCUACCACCUCUUUUACCCCUCCCCCUCUCUUCCACACUCCCUCCUAGUUUCCUUAUUUUUUUUCCAGAUCGACCAGUACUAUUCAGGCUGGUCUUGAAUUUGUGUUCGUCUUACCUCAGCUUCCUAAGUAGAUGGGAUUAAGGACGGGUCCCUGCACUUGGUUUGCCACUCUCAGCAUGACUAUUCUUGGCUUUGAACUUAUUUCUAGGGUUCUCAUGAAGGCAUUUCCCACUCACAUGUGUCAUAUUAUAGUCACUCUUUCUAUGAGGACAAUGAGAUUUGGUGCUUCUGAUUCCACCAUCUUGCUAAUAUCAUCGUCCUCUGUCUCUUAAAUAAUGAGAAAUGAAAGCAUUCCCCACCCUCAUGUGCGGAGACACUAAGUCUUCUUUCCCAUAUGCCGCCUGAGACCUUCUCCCUAUCUUUAUACAGUUGUAUUAACAACGUAUCUUAUUCAACAUGGUCCAUCCCGGGGCUCUAGGCUUCUAGGAGCAGAUGCAGUAUUACAUUUUACUCAAGGUCUUGUACUGGAGAACCCCAUAUUUCCUAAAUAUAUUUAAAAAAUAGUGGAGAACAUAUGGGUGUCUGUGUCUAUCAGGUUCUAGUGUUGAGAGCUGUUGUAUACAACUGUCCUAGUUAGCUUUAACUGUCAACUUGAAGGCUAAAAUCACCUGAGAAAAUGAAGUUUCAAUUGAGGGAUGGCAGAAGAUGGGCUGGCAGAGGCAUGUCUGUGGGGGGUUAUCUUAAUUAUCAAUUGAUGUAGGAGAACCCAGCCCACUGUGGAGGGCACCAUUCCUUAGGCCAGUGUUUCUCAACAUUCCUAAUGUGUUGACUUUUUAUUUAAUACAGUUCCUCAUGUUGUGGUGACCCCCCAACUAUAAAAUAUUUUCUUUUGCUACUUCAUAACUGCAAUUUUGCUACUGUUAUGAGUCCUAAUAUAAAUAUCCAAGCUUUCUCAUAGUCUUAGGUGACCCUUAUGAAAGGAUUGUUCAUCCCCUAAAUGGGUCAUGACCCAACUGCCCUAGGCAGACAGGCUGCAUAAGAAAACUAGUUAAACACAGGCGUGCCAUAAAGCCAGUAAGGUGAUGUUCCUCUAUGGUUUUGCCUUCAAGUUCAAAUUUAAAAUCUGCUCUGUCUUUCCUUAUUGGAGGUCUGUGACUUGGAAGUGUAAAUCUCAAUGACAAUAACAACAACAACAAUAACAACAACAACAUCAUCAACAACAACAACAGACAGCAGCAGUAACAACAACAAAAUGCUCUUCUCUCUUAACUUGCUUUUGGUCACAGGGCUUUGUCACAGCAAUGGAUGCAACUAGACAAGCAACUUGGCAUCUUUUCCCAUGAAACUCCUUCCAGAGCUCAAAGCAAACCUUCUCUUACUGAAUAUAUUCAUACACAUGUAUUAAAUAUUUAUGGGUUGUCUAAUUGCAAGAUCAACGAUAGUCCCUGCUUCAGAAUGUGGGGAACACUAGGACAAUAGGAGCCCUUAGGUAAAAGCAAAAGCAGGUUAGUUCGCUUACUAAGUCUUUCCUUUACAAAAGGGUUGACUAACGUAGAUUUCUGGCCAAUGAAGAAUUAUUUUGUAGGGUGAAGAAUCCUUUCAUUGCUUUUUAUUUCUAAUUUGAUAUGAAAUAUUCAUCAAUUUAUGUCAUAUACAAAUGUAUAUGUAUAAAAUGUACAUGUAUAAAAAGCAGUUAAAAUGACAGAUGAAAACAUUUUGCCACAGUCAAAAAUUCAAGUUUGAGCAAAGGUUUAAGUAAUUUAUAUAUGAACAGUGAUACCCAUCUUUUUUCUUUACUGUAUAGAUCAAUAUAAAUAAGUGAUAGUCUUUACGAUGUAAUCAAAUUGGUUUGUAGGGUUUUUUGGUGGAAAUACUACUAACUUACUGUGUUAUAUAAGAUAAUUUUGAUGCAGCAUUUGAAUAUUCAAUACAAUAUGCACAAAUCUUU